rnacentral:rRNA from 1 species
AUGGACUUUGAGUCCCAGAACUACACAAUCAUCACAAGCAGGUGCAAAGGGCCACAAUCGCCUCCUACGGAAUGCUGUGAUGCUUUCAAGAAAUUUGCAUGCCCAUUUGCCGCCUAUAUCAACAACCAAAGCACGAACUGUGCAAGCACGAUGAUAAGCUACAUCAACUUCCAAGGCUCGUACCCAGCAGGCAUGUUCUCCGCUGAGUGCUUCAAAGGCAAGGAAGGGGUUUCUUGCGAAGGCGUUCCAGGGGUAGACACCGCCGUGCCAAGUAGUGGGCGACGAGCUCAAGGGAGUUCGCGACAUCCUUUGGUCGCUCUCUUGUGUGGAAUAGGAGCAUUGCUGUUCCAUUGA